AGCAGUACCGCGGUAAUACGAAGGGUGCAAGCGUUAAUCGGAAUUACUGGGCGUAAAGAGCUCGUAGGCGGUCUGUCGCGUCGAAUGUGAAAAUCCGAGGCUCAACCUCGGACCUGCAUUCGAUACGGGCAGACUAGAGUUCGGUAGGGGAGUCUGGAAUUCCUGGUGUAGCGGUGAAAUGCGCAGAUAUCAGGAGGAACACCGGUGGCGAAGGCGGGACUCUGGGCCGAUACUGACGCUGAGGAGCGAAAGCGUGGGGGGCAAACAGGAUUAGAUACCCCAGUAGUCCCUGUCUCUUAUACA
rnacentral:rRNA from 1 species